rnacentral:rRNA from 1 species
AGAGUUUGAUCCUGGCUCAGGAUGAACGCUAGCGACAGGCUUAACACAUGCAAGUCGAGGGGCAGCGGUGGUGAAGGCUUGCCUUUACCAGCCGGCGACCGGCGCACGGGUGAGUAACACGUAUGCAACCUGCCUGCCACAGCCGGAUAAUCGGGAGAAAUUCCGUCUAAUACGGCAUAAUGCACCUAUGGGACAUCCUGUUGGUGCCAAAGGUUGAUUCCGGUGGCGGAUGGGCAUGCGUCGCAUUAGUUAGUUGGCGGUGUAACGGACCACCAAGACGACGAUGCGUAGGGGUUCUGAGAGGAAGGUCCCCCACACUGGUACUGAGACACGGACCAGACUCCUACGGGAGGCAGCAGUGAGGAAUAUUGGUCAAUGGGCGGGAGCCUGAACCAGCCAAGUCGCGUGAGGGAUGACGGCCCUAUGGGUUGUAAACCUCUUUUGCCGGGGAGCAAAGUGCCGCACGUGUGCGGUUUGGAGAGUACCCGGAGAAAAAGCAUCGGCUAACUCCGUGCCAGCAGCCGCGGUAAUACGGAGGAUGCGAGCGUUAUCCGGAUUUAUUGGGUUUAAAGGGUGCGUAGGCGGACGCUUAAGUCAGCGGUAAAAUUGCGGGGCUCAACCUCGUCGAGCCGUUGAAACUGGGUGCCUUGAGUGGGCGAGAAGUACGCGGAAUGCGUGGUGUAGCGGUGAAAUGCAUAGAUAUCGCGCAGAACUCCGAUUGCGAAGGCAGCAUGCCGGCUCCACACUGACGCUGAGGCACGAAAGCGUGGGUAUCGAACAGGAUUAGAUACCCUGGUAGUCCACGCAGUAAACGAUGAAUGCUGGCUGUCCGGGGGGACUGACCCCUGGGUGGCGAAGCGAAAGCGAUAAGCAUUCCACCUGGGGAGUACGCCGGCAACGGUGAAACUCAAAGGAAUUGACGGGGGCCCGCACAAGCGGAGGAACAUGUGGUUUAAUUCGAUGAUACGCGAGGAACCUUACCCGGGCUCAAACGGGGAGUGGCGCAGGCAGAGACGCCUGUUUCCCACGGGACACUCCCCGAGGUGCUGCAUGGUUGUCGUCAGCUCGUGCCGUGAGGUGUCGGCUUAAGUGCCAUAACGAGCGCAACCCCCGCGUGCAGUUGCUAACAGUCAACGCUGAGGACUCUGCACGGACUGCCGGCGCAAGCCGCGAGGAAGGCGGGGAUGACGUCAAAUCAGCACGGCCCUUACGUCCGGGGCGACACACGUGUUACAAUGGGUGGUACAGCGGGAAGCCAGGCGGCGACGCCGAGCGGAACCCGAAAUCCACUCUCAGUUCGGAUCGGAGUCUGCAACCCGACUCCGUGAAGCUGGAUUCGCUAGUAAUCGCGCAUCAGCCAUGGCGCGGUGAAUACGAACCCGGGCCUUGUACACACCGCCCGUCA